GACGAACGCUGGCGGCAUGCCUAAUACAUGCAAGUCGAGCGAACAGAUGAAGUGCUUGCACUUCUGACGUUAGCGGCGAACGGGUGAGUAACACGUAAGGAAUCUACCUAUAAGCGGGGGAUAACAUUCGGAAACGGGUGCUAAUACCGCAUAAUAUCUUCUUCCGCAUGGAAGAAGAUUGAAAGACGGCUCUGCUGUCACUUAUAGAUGACCUUGCGGUGCAUUAGUUAGUUGGUGGGGUAACGGCCUACCAAGACGAUGAUGCAUAGCCGACCUGAGAGGGUGAUCGGCCACAUUGGGACUGAGACACGGCCCAAACUCCUACGGGAGGCAGCAGUAGGGAAUCUUCCGCAAUGGGCGAAAGCCUGACGGAGCAAUGCCGCGUGAGUGAAGAAGGCCUUCGGGUCGUAAGACUCUGUUAUAAGAGAAGAACAAAUUGUAGAGUAACUGCUACAGUCUUGACGGUAUCUUAUCAGAAAGCCACGGCUAACUACGUG
rnacentral:rRNA from 1 species